AACGCUGGCGGCGUGCCUAAUACAUGCAAGUCGAACGCGCAGCGAAAGGUGCUUGCACCUUUCAAGCGAGUGGCGAACGGGUGAGUAACACGUGGAUAACCUGCCUCAAGGCUGGGGAUAACAUUUGGAAACAGAUGCUAAUACCGAAUAAAACUUAGUAUCGCAUGAUACAAAGUUGAAAGGCGCUACGGCGUCACCUAGAGAUGGGUCCGCGGUGCAUUAGUUAGUUGGUGGGGUAAAGGCCUACCAAGACAAUGAUGCAUAGCCGAGUUGAGAGACUGAUCGGCCACAUUGGG
rnacentral:rRNA from 1 species